rnacentral:rRNA from 1 species
AACGAACGCUGGCGGCAGGCUUAACACAUGCAAGUCGAACGCCCCUCCUUCAAGCUCGCUUGAAGAAUCUUCUGGAUAGAGAAGAUCAGGACCGCAGGCGGUCUUGAUGGAGGGGAGUGGCAGACGGGUGAGUAACGCGUGGGAACGUACCCUUUGGUUCGGAAUAACCCAGGGAAACUUGGGCGUAAUACCGGAUACGUCCGUAAGGAGAAGAUUUAUCGCCAAAGGAUCGGCCCGCGUUGGAUUAGCUAGUUGGUGAGGUAAUGGCUCACCAAGGCGACGAUCCAUAGCUGGUCUGAGAGGAUGAUCAGCCACACUGGGACUGAGACACGGCCCAGACUCCUACGGGA